UAUUCCCAGUCUGCCAUGCACUCUAGGAAGGCCAUGCACAAGAGGAAAUACUCAGUGACUAAAUCCAAGGUUGAAAAGAAAAAGAAGGAGAAGGUCCUUGCCACUGUUACAAGACCAGCUGGUGGUGACAAGAAUGAUGGCACUCCUGUGAUUAAACCUUGCAAAAUGCCUAGGUACUAUCCAACCGAAGACGUGGCUCGAAAGCUGUUGAGCCACGGGGCAAAAAACUGUUUAGCCAACACGUGAGAAGACUGCAAGCUAGCAUCACUCCUGGGACCAUCCUCAUCAUCCUCACCGGAUGCCACAGAGGCAAGAGGGUGGUUUUCCUGAAGCAACUGGGCAGUGGCUUGUUACUUGUGACUGGACCUCUGUCCCUUAAUUGAGUUCCUCUGCGAAGGACACACCAGAAAUUUGUCAUCACCACCACCACAAAAAUUGAUAUCAGCAAUGUGAAAAUCCCUAAGCACCUCACUGAUGCUUGCUUCAAGAAGCAACAGCUGCGGAAGCCCAGAUACCAGGAGAGUGAGAUCUUUGACACAGAAAAGGAGAAAUAAGAGAUUACAGAACAGCGCAAAGUGGAUCAGAAAGCUGUGGACUCCCAAAUUUUACCAAAAAUCAAGGCAAUUCCUCAGCUCCAGGGCUAUCUGCUAUCUCUGUUUGCCCUGACAAAUGGAAUUUAUCCUCACAGAUUGGUAUUCUAAAUUUUUACAAAGAACCUAAUUAAAUAACUGAAAGAUAAAAAAA